rnacentral:rRNA from 1 species
AGGGAAGCAGGGGAUCGCAAGACCUUGCGCUCUUGGAGCGGCCGAUGUCUGAUUAGCUAGUUGGUGAGGUAAAGGCUUACCAAGGCGACGAUCAGUAGCUGGUCUGAGAGGACGACCAGCCACACUGGGACUGAGACACGGCCCAGACUCCUACGGGAGGCAGCAGUGGGGAAUUUUGGACAAUGGGGGAAACCCUGAUCCAGCCAUGCCGCGUGAGUGAAGAAGGCCUUCGGGUUGUAAAGCUCUUUCAGCCGGAACGAAACGGUCACGGCUAAUACCUGUGAUCACUGACGGUACCGGAAGAAGAAGCACCGGCUAACUACGUGCCAGCAGCCGCGGUAAUACGUAGGGUGCAAGCGUUAAUCGGAAUUACUGGGCGUAAAGCGUGCGCAGGCGGUUUUGUAAGUCAGAUGUGAAAUCCCCGGGCUUAACCUGGGAACUGCGUUUGAAACUACAAGGCU